UCGCUCUGCAACAUGCAUGCAGCCAUUUUUAUUAGUCUGUGUGUGUGCGCGUGGAGUCGUCGCGUGAUAAUUAGGCUAGUGUAAAUUAACUAAAAGGUGGUGUUUUUGACAGUGACCUUUGUGACAUAUAUUAUCAGUGCAUGUGCGCCUCAUACGGAAGUACGUGGAUGGGAUCGGAUCGGAGUGCACUUCCUGAAGCGAUGGUGAAGAGUUCGUAUCUUACAGGAACAUACACGCAUGCGUCUCCAUGCCAGCGUGUCGUGGGAACACUGGUCAUGCUUGGAAUAAUGAUGAUGAUUAACAUGGUGAUGUCUCCAUGAAACUGACUCGCUGACGGGAUGGACAAAGAAAGCACUAACGAAAAGGAACAAACCGAGUCUGGUCUAUCUACCCGUCGUGGCGCACGGCGUCAACUGUGUUGGAGGGUUGCCACUAGCUAGGGGCAACUGUUCGCUGUCGAAGAAGGAAAGCGGAAAGCAUGUUAUACCAGAAACCACCCAAAGGAAACUUUCAGUAUCAAGGGACGGACACGCACGUAUUUUGUCAAUCCAUCCGUCUGCUUCCUCCUGCUAGUGUCUCUGGAUGUAGCAGAU